rnacentral:rRNA from 1 species
GAUGAACGCUGGCGGCGUGCCUAAUACAUGCAAGUCGAACGAGUUCUGAUUAUUGAAAGGUGCUUGCAUCUUGAUUUAAUUUUGAACGAGUGGCGGACGGGUGAGUAACACGUGGGUAACCUGCCCUUAAGUGGGGGAUAACAUUUGGAAACAGAUGCUAAUACCGCAUAAACCCAAGAACCGCAUGGUUCUUGGCUGAAAGAUGGCGCAAGCUAUCGCUUUUGGAUGGACCCGCGGCGUAUUAGCUAGUUGGUGAGGUAACGGCUCACCAAGGCAAUGAUACGUAGCCGAACUGAGAGGUUGAUCGGCCACAUUGGGACUGAGACACGGCCCAAACUCUACGGGAGGCAGCAGUAGGGAAUCUUCCACAAUGGACGCAAGUCUGAUGGAGCAACGCCGCGUGAGUGAAGAAGGCUUUCGGGUCGUAAAACUCUGUUGUUGGAGAAGAAUGGUCGGCAGAGUAACUGUUGUCGGCGUGACGGUAUCCAACCAGAAAGCCACGGCUAACUACGUGCCAGCAGCCGCGGUAAUACGUAGGUGGCAGGCGUUAUCCGGAUUUAUUGGGCGUAAAGCGAGCGCAGGCGGUUUUUUAAGUCUGAUGUGAAAGCCCUCGGCUUAACCGAGGAAGUGCAUCGGAAACUGGGAAACUUGAGUGCAGAAGAGGACAGUGGAACUCCAUGUGUAGCGGUGAAAUGCGUAGAUAUAUGGAAGAACACCAGUGGCGAAGGCGGCUGUCUGGUCUGUAACUGACGCUGAGGCUCGAAAGCAUGGGUAGCGAACAGGAUUAGAUACCCUGGUAGUCCAUGCCGUAAACGAUGAAUGCUAGGUGUUGGAGGGUUUCCGCCCUUCAGUGCCGCAGCUAACGCAUUAAGCAUUCCGCCUGGGGAGUACGACCGCAAGGUUGAAACUCAAAGGAAUUGACGGGGGCCCGCACAAGCGGUGGAGCAUGUGGUUUAAUUCGAAGCAACGCGAAGAACCUUACCAGGUCUUGACAUCUUUUGAUCACCUGAGAGAUCAGGUUUCCCCUUCGGGGGCAAAAUGACAGGUGGUGCAUGGUUGUCGUCAGCUCGUGUCGUGAGAUGUUGGGUUAAGUCCCGCAACGAGCGCAACCCUUAUGACUAGUUGCCAGCAUUUAGUUGGGCACUCUAGUAAGACUGCCGGUGACAAACCGGAGGAAGGUGGGGAUGACGUCAAAUCAUCAUGCCCCUUAUGACCUGGGCUACACACGUGCUACAAUGGAUGGUACAACGAGUUGCGAGACCGCGAGGUCAAGCUAAUCUCUUAAAGCCAUUCUCAGUUCGGACUGUAGGCUGCAACUCGCCUACACGAAGUCGGAAUCGCUAGUAAUCGCGGAUCAGCACGCCGCGGUGAAUACGUUCCCGGGCCU